rnacentral:rRNA from 1 species
UCAAAGUAGGCAAAUCCGCGUUGAUAAUGCUGGGAUGUGAGGGGGAGCGAAAGUUAGUAGCGAGGUAGCUGAUUUCCCACUGUGACGAACAGUCUCGAUCGAGGGUAAAGGCACCCGUACCGCAAACCGACCUAGGUGGGGGAGGAGAGUAUCCUAAGGCUAGCGAGAGAACUGUUGUUAAGGAACUCGGCAAAAGGGCCCCGGAACGUAGGGAUAAGUGGUGCCACCAUCAGGUGGCCGCAGAGAAUAGGCCCAAGAGACUGUUUACCAAAAACAUAGGUUUCUGCUAAGUCGCAAGACGAUGUAUAGAGAUAGACACCGACUCCGUGUUGGACAGAUAAGAGGAUUAGAUAGCACA